rnacentral:lncRNA from 1 species
CUUUGAUAAAAAGAUAUUAAAAAGUUAAAACCCCUAAAAAAAUCAGGAGUCAUUAACUAAUAAAAUUAUAUGUACAGCAUUAUCCUGAAACUUCAGUAUUCUGCACCCAUUUUGGUUUUGACUUUGUCAUAGUUAAGGGUAGAAAGCUAUAAUGUUAGUGAGGCACAGUGGCUUACUAGGGUGAGGCAGGAGGAUCAAGAGUUCAAAGUCAGCCUCAGCAACUUGGGCCCUAAGCAACUCAACAAGACCUUAUCUCUAAAUAAAAUACAAAAAUGGUCUGGGGAUGUGGCUCCAUGGUUAAGUGCCUCUGGGUUCAAUCUACAUACCAAAAAAAAAAAAAGUAAGCUGUAAUUUUGAGAGUGGUACAGAUCACUUGUUCUCAGGCUUUGCUAUGUAUCAUGGCUGGCUGGGGAGCCUUUUUAAAAACAUCCUCUGCUCUAUCCCACUAAAUCAGAUUCUCCACAAAUGAGGACUCAAAGUCUAGAUUUAGCAACUGCUUAUAGUACUCUGAAAGCUAAUAAAGAGACAGUUCUGCAGCUUCACACUCACAAAGCAGAAGAGGAAACCUCAACUUUCGAGGGUUCCCAGGAAGGAUGCCAACUUGUUUAAAUCUGAUGCAAGGCCUUGGAAAAGGGACAAGAAGCCAGACUUAAACUUGCAGUAUAUUUAUUUUAAGAUGAUACUCCUGUUUUGCAUAUUACCAUUAAUAAGUUAGGCAGUCUUUUACCACCAGAAAAAGGAGAGUGAAGCUUAAAGUAUUCAUGGCCUGUCAUUCCUCAGCAAAUUGGGAGUUCAGCUGACAAAAAUCAAUGUACAUAUGUUUCUAAAGGGUGUUUUCUGUUUAACUCUCACUCUUCCUGAUGAAAAUAACGUCUCCAUAUAUCUAAAGGAGAAAGAGAAAUGGAAUUAGCUUUGGAAAUGCAUUUUUAAAGCACUGUUUGAAUAAGAUAGUAUUUAAAUACUGCAUAUGUGUUAUCCUUUCUUUUGGAAAGAUAAAAUUAUUUUAUCCCUGGUGAAGAUGCAUACAAAGGAAACUCACAUCUUUGAUGGUGUUUUGAUACCGAUGUUCCGUGGGUUUAUAGGAAAGACAUGUAGGAAACAGGGAGAUGGCACAGUCAGCAAAGGAUUUGUGACCCAGUCAUAGAUGGAACUCAACUGUCUGCCUAAGACUUGGGAAAAGCAAGAGAAAUAACUUGGGAAGGGAAUCCUAGAAAAUUUAAUCAUGGUCUUAACUUUUACUGGCAGACAGUAAUUGGUUUGCUCCACAUAUCCUGGCCAUGGCAUUGUUAUAGAUUCAGGGCUAUUAUAUAGCAUAGGGUCAAGGUAAGAAGUUCAGUUCAGAGAUUUUGUCACCUUGUGCUGCUUUUUUUUUCCUUUGACCCUAUCAAAAAUGUUCAUUUGCCCACUACUGCAUAUGUGUUAUCCUAGGGGAAGUGACCUUGUCCUAAGCACACAGGGAUUAAGCAACUUUCCUAAUUGACUAUGAAAACAUUAAUAUUGUGACUUAGAUUCUUCUUUUUAAAUAUUUCAUUCUGUUUCUUUAAGAGAAAAUAUUUUUGUACUCACACCUUUUAUUUUACUUAACCAAUGCAGGAGUUGGUGGGCUUAAAUUUGAGCAUUAUCUUAGCCCAUUUUAACAGCAACCCUUAGAAAAAGGAAGUGAUUUUGGUAUCAGCAAUAUCAAAAUGUCUUGAUUAUUAUACCAGAGGCAGCACUUCACUGGAGUGGUUUUUAUUUUUAGCACAAUAGACAAAAAGGAAAAUGUUACCCACAGUAUGUAAUAAAGAUUUUGCUAAUUUUGUGCUCAUCGUUAUUCACUUUGAUUAAUCUCUGGAACAAAUUUUUUAAAUUAUUUCACUUACUUUGCUUAAAUGUGGCAAAAAUGACUUCUUUUGUGUCCUCAGUUCUACUAGGUACAGUAUAUACUGGAAGUCUUGAAUUAUAUUCAACAAACAUUCCCAGAUCUGCCUACCUGGCAUAUUGUAGGUUUUGGUUGCCUUGGUCCCCUUGUGAUUUGGUGCAAUCAUGUAACUUUCUGAUAAUGAGUGGUAAGCAAAAAUGGACUGUGAGACCUUCCCAAGCUUACUGUUUUUUUUUUUUUUUCCAAGCAUAACAACAUGAUGGUUGUUGCCCCUACCAACCUGUACCCUUGAGUGACUAUAAUGAGCAUACCCCAUGACAGUACAAUUCAUAUGUAUUGGGGUCCAAUAUAGACUCUUGAUAUAUAAAAUACACAUGAAUAGGUAAAAAGUUUUGUGUAAGUUAUUAAAAGUAAAACUAUGGAGACACAAAAAUCAGAGGCUGCAAGAGGCUCCUGGAAAAGGAGAAAUGAAUAGACAAAGAACUGACUACUUUUAGGGCAGUGAAACUAUUCUUUGAUCUUGCAAUGGUAUCAGCAUAUUAGAAUGAACAAUGAACAAAACAAGAAAGGAAAUGGGUGCUGGUCAGUAUACAUCCAUCCAAACCUAUAGGAUAUACAACACUGAGAGUGAACUAUAAUGUAAACUAUGGAUUAUGGGUAAUAAUGAUGCGCCAAUGCAGGUACAUUAGUUGUAACAAAUGUGCUACUCUGGUAUGGUACAGUGAUGGUAGGGGGACUGUGAACUUGAGUGAGAGGGUGUAGAGGAAAUCUCUACCUUCCUCAGAUUUUGUUAAGAUAAAACUGUUCCUAAAAAAUAAUGUAGUACUAGCUGGGCACAGUAGCAUAUGCCUGUAAUCCCAGUGACUCAGGAGGCUAAGGCAGGAUCGCAAGUUCAAAGCCAGCCUCAGCAAAAGCAAGGCAUUAAGCAACUCAAAGAUACCCUGUCUCUAAACAAAAUACAAAAUAGGGCUGCGGAUAUGGCUCAGUGGUCAAGUGCUUCCGAGUUCAAUUCCCGGUACCCAAAAAAUAAUAAUAUAGUACAACCAGGCACGAUGGUGCACACCUGUAAUCUCAUCAGCUCUGGAGGCUGAGGCAGGAGGAACACAAGUUCAAAGCCAUUCCCAGCAAUUUAGGGAGACCCAGUCUCAAGAAAUAAAAACAGAUUGGGGAUAUGACUCAGCACAUACUAUAUACAUUAUUUUUUUAUGAUGGGGGAGGGAAAUUCAAGUAUUAAAGAUCUUAAUCUGAGUGUGUGAGUGUGUGCUAGAGUAUUAUAACGGAAGCCAUCAUUGAUUUAGCACUGGAAACUGAGCACUUCUACAUGUUCUUUCUUAUUUAGUUCCACCAUAACCCAAUGAGGAAGAUAAUACUAAUAUCCUUGGUUUAGAUAUUUUAUGCAUAGUAGUUACAUUCACUUCUGACAUGCCAUACUGGCUUUUGUUCAGGGCUACCUACAUAUAUAGUUUGUUGUUGUUAAGAAAGCAUUGUAGACCUGCAGGAAGUCAAAGAUAAGAAUGAAAAUAGUUGUUUUAUAAGUUCAAAACCUAAGGAAUAUUUUAACCAACACCAAGAAAUAUAAUCUUUUGAGAUUUUCUUGUAAAUAGUUCACACAAGGAAUUUUGAAUUAAUUGUAAAAUUUCCAAAAGGUCUCUUACCAGAAAUUCCAUAUAAAACACCUAAAUGUUAACUGCAUGUAUUUGAACAAAAUAUUCAAAUAUUAACUAUAUAAUUCAAAUUUUAACAGGUUACACUUGAAAUACUACAUACCAAAUAAUAGAUAUAUCAAACAAUUGGCAUUUCCUCCUUCAAAGUAUUCUUAAUAGAGCUUUAUUCUUAUACUGACUUGAAAUUGUUAGAAAUAUAAAUGUAUCUAUAUACAUGGAAACAAAAACAUAUCUUUUCACUCUAUGAAGUGAUUUGGUUUGGGAAGGUAAAUAAUAGGCAUAAUGUUAUUUUUAAUUGAUAUAUUAUGCACAUACACUUUUAUAGCCCAUGAUUAUUAAUUGUUGAACUUCUUUAUGAAGUCUCAUUAAUUCUCAUGCUUAGUGAUUGAAUUUUGGACAAAACUGGACUCAUUCAGUAUCUCUAAUACUGUAAUUAAAUUCAUUGGAAUAAAAAUUUCUAGUGAUAUGUGUAUAUAUAUAUAUAUAUAUAUAUAUAUAUGUGUGUGUGUGUGUUUGUGUGUGUGUGUGUGUGUGUGUGUAUAAACUUAAAUUGAUACUAACUGUGAAGAUAAAUUAAUACCUAUUCAUGUCACUUUGCUGGUGAAUUUUGUGUUAGGAUUCCUAAGCCUUAAAAAUAAAAAUCUUCUAAAAGAACAUAUUUAAAAUUUUUAUCUUAUUGAGUAUUGAGUAUAUGUUACUUGGUAUAUUUUCAACUGUGACAAAGUUAGAAAGAUGACAUAAUGAGGUCUACAAAAAUAAGAAUGUUUGUGGUUAAUACUAUAUGAUAAAUGUUUUCUUGUACAACCCACGGUCAGAUAAUAAUUCAGUAUUUGAAGAAAGCAAACCCAUUUGAAGGAUAAAAUAAUUGCUGCAUUCAGAAUAGAUAUAAUGGAAGUUAAAACUGCUGUGAUCAACCUAUUUGCUUCUGAGUUAAAGGGAAAGGAAGCUAUUUAUAGUUCUAAUGCAAUGACAGUACACUAAAGAAUUGGUCAAACUGAUUUAAACUUGUGACUUCUAUGCAGUGCAUGAGAUGUAUUUGCUCAUUUAUUUUCUUUAAUUAAAAUCUGAUUCCUGUAAUGUGGAUGGUGACAUAUAAUAUUUAUAAUAAAAUCAAAGUAAAUGUAGAAAAACAAAUUUCCUUCUAAUUGCUAAUGAUCUAUCUCUAUUUCUUUCUAGCUUGUGCAAAAGCCUUGAGCACCAUAAAUGUCAAAACACUUCUUUCCAUUCCUAAAUAAAACCAAUAUUGUUUGUCUUC